rnacentral:rRNA from 1 species
GACGUAGGGCGCGAGCGUUGUCCGGAUUUAUUGGGCGUAAAGAGCUCGUAGGCGGCUUGUCGCGUCGACUGUGAAAACUCGGGGCUCAACUCCGAGCUUGCAGUCGAUACUGUCGUGACUCGAGUCCGGUAGGGGAGUGUGGAAUUCCCGGUGUAGCGGUGAAAUGCGCAGAGAUCGGGAGGAACACCCGUAGCGAAGGCGGCACUCUGGGCCGGUACUGACGCUGAGGAGCGAAAGCGUGGGGAGCAAACAGG